rnacentral:rRNA from 1 species
GAUGAACGCUGGCGGCGUGCCUAAUACAUGCAAGUCGAGCGAACGGACGAGAAGCUUGCUUCUCUGAUGUUAGCGGCGGACGGGUGAGUAACACGUGGAUAACCUACCUAUAAGACUGGGAUAACUUCGGGAAACCGGAGCUAAUACCGGAUAAUAUUUUGAACCGCAUGGUUCAAAAGUGAAAGACGGUCUUGCUGUCACUUAUAGAUGGUUCCGCGCUGCCUUAGCUAGUUGGUAAGGUAACGGUUUACCAAGGCAACGAUGCAUAGCCGACCUGAGAGGGUGAUCGGCCACACGGGAACUGAGACACGGUCCAGACUCCUACGGGAGGCAGCAGUAGGGAAUCUUCCGCAAUGGGCGAAAGCCUGACGGAGCAACGCCGCGUGAGUGAUGAAGGUCUUCGGAUCGUAAAACUCUGUUAUUAGGGAAGAACAUAUGUGUAAGUAACUGUGCACAUCUUGACGGUACCUAAUCAGAAAGCCACGGCUAACUACGUG